CCUACGGGCGGCAGCAGUGAGGAAUAUUGGUCAAUGGCCGGAAGGCUGAACCAGCCAAGCCGCGUGAAGGACGAAGGUGCCAAGCAUUGUAAACUUCUUUUGUCAAGGGACAAAAUCAGGCUCGAGAGCCUGACCGAGGGUACUUGAAGAAAAAGCAUCGGCUAACUCCGUGCCAGCAGCCGCGGUAAUACGGAGGAUGCGAGCGUUAUCCGGAUUUACUGGGUGUAAAGGGAGCGCAGACGGCAGUGCAAGUCUGGAGUGAAAGCCCGGGGCCCAACCCCGGAACUGCUCUGGAAACUGUGCGGCUAGAGUACUGGAGGGGCAGGCGGAAUUCCUGGUGUAGCGGUGAAAUGCGUAGAUAUUAGGAGGAACACCAGUGGCGAAGGCGGCCUGCUGGACAGUAACUGACGUUGAGGCUCGAAAGCGUGGGGAGCAAACAGGAUUAGAUACCCGAGUAGUC
rnacentral:rRNA from 1 species